UGGGGAAUAUUGCACAAUGGGCGCAAGCCUGAUGCAGCAACGCCGCGUGAGGGACGACGGCCUUCGGGUUGUAAACCUCUUUUAGUAGGGAAGAAGCGAAAGUGACGGUACCUGCAGAAAAAGCACCGGCUAACUACGUGCCAGCAGCCGCGGUAAUACGUAGGGUGCGAGCGUUGUCCGGAAUUAUUGGGCGUAAAGAGCUCGUAGGCGGUCUGUCGCGUCUGCUGUGAAAACCCGAGGCUCAACCUCGGGCCUGCAGUGGGUACGGGCAGACUAGAGUGCGGUAGGGGAGAAUGGAAUUCCUGGUGUAGCGGUGGAAUGCGCAGAUAUCAGGAGGAACACCGAUGGCGAAGGCAGUUCUCUGGGCCGUAACUGACGCUGAGGAGCGAAAGCGUGGGGAGCGAACAGGAUUAGAUACCCUGGUAGUCCACGCCGUAAACGUUGGGCGCUAGAUGUGGGGACCAUUCCACGGUUUCCGUGUCGCAGCUAACGCAUUAAGCGCCCGCCUGGGGAGUACGGCCGCAAGGCUAAAACUUGAAAGGAAUUG
rnacentral:rRNA from 1 species